GAUGAACGCUAGCUACAGGCUUAACACAUGCAAGUCGUGGGGCAUCAUGAUGUAGUAAUACAUUGAUGGCGACCGGCGCACGGGUGAGUAACGCGUAUCCAACCUACCCUCCACUCAAGUAUAGGCUUCCGAAAGGGAGAUUAAUCCUUGAUAUCGUCAUUCUCUCUCCUGUUAGAAUGAUAAAAGGACAUCGUUUCGGUAGAGGAUGGGGAUGCGUUCCAUUAGGUAGUAGGUGGUUUAACAGGCCACCUAGCCGAUGAUGGAUAGGGGUUCUGAGAGGAAUAUCCCCCACACUGGUACUGAGAUACGGACCAGACUCCUACGGGAGGCAGCAGUGAGGAAUAUUGGUCAAUGGGCGCAAGCCUGAACCAGCCAUGUAGCGUGAAGGAUGACAGUUUUUUUGAUUGUAAACUUCUUUUCUGUGCGAUUAAAGUGUGGCAUUUAUGCCAUAUGCAG
rnacentral:rRNA from 1 species